AGUUCAUGAAACAAAUCUAUCAUGUUGUGGAAUGACAGGUAUUUACGUACAUUAAAGUCUUAUGUCCGUAAUAAGAGUCGUCCAGAAGGUUCUAUUGCAGAGGGCUACAUAGCAGAAGAAUGUACAACCUUUUGUUCAAGAUAUUUGCAUGAUGUUGAAACGAAGCAUGACCGUGAAGAAAGAAAUUAUGUCAUUGAAAAUAACAUAACAAAUGGUGGAGGGUUAACCAUUUUCAAAUGUAUGGGACGUACAAUAGGAAAGUCAACAUCUCGUGUUCUUAGCACAGAAGAAUGGUCCCAAGCACAUUUAUAUGUGUUGACUAAUUGUGAGGAAGUGACGUCAUUUAUUGAAGAGCAUAAGCAAUCUAUAAGGGUUAAGCCUCGUAUUCGUGCACGAGAUGUAGAUUUGAUUCACACAAGAGAAUUCAUUAGUUGGUUUGAAGAACGUGUAAGUUCAUUCACUACAUAAAUUGUUCUAUUAUCUAAUACACAUGUAUGUAUUAACAUCUUAUAUUUGAAUCUAUAGAUUAUACAAAUGCGACAUGAAGGUCCAAUUUCUGAACACAUACUAUCAUUGUCUUGUGGACCAAGUACAUCAGUUAUAUGUUAUAGAGGAUACAUCAUUAAUGGGUUCAGAUUUCACACAAGAGAACGAGAAAAAGGAAAAAAAAACUCAAAAUAGUGGAGUUGUUGUGACCGUAGAGGUAUCAAGCUUUGCAAGUGCAAGAGAUAAGAACCCAAUUCCUGGUCAUGUUUCUUACUAUGGUGUGCUAACUAAUGUAAUUGAGUUACAUUACCUUGGUGGAAAUAGAGUUAUUUUAUUCAAGUGUGACUGGUGGGAUGUAAUCAAUAGUGGAAGGGGAAUAAAGAAGGAUGAAUAUGGGUUCACGUGUUUGAAUUUUGAACGUACCAUAUGCACAGAUGAACCAUUUGUGCUUGCAUCUCAAGCAAAACAAGUCUUCUAUGUUCAAAAUUCAAAUGAGGAAAAUUGGCACACCGUUGUAGAGAUACAAACUCGAGGGGUUUAUGAUAUGAAUCAGAAAGUAUCUACUAAUGAUCCAGAGCCAUAUCAACAGCUUAUAACACUUCAUAGUCAACGUGAUGUGCAUGAGUUGGUCGAGAAUGAUUUAAUCAAUUGGGAUAGAAAUGAUAUUGCAGGAGAAACUAUCCAAACAGAUGUUCUACUAUCACGACAAGAAAACAUUAUUGAAAGAGAUAAUGAAUUCAUUCAUGAUGAUGAUAUAGAUGAUGUGUAGCUAAUAAUAUUGGAAAUGUCACAUCGAAGAGGAAGAGUACAAAUAGUGUCUCCAGAAGAUGAGUUGAACAAUCUACAACAACUCUUAGACAUACAACCUGCUGCAACUACUACUCCUAGUAGUUCUGAUCCUUCUGAUUCUUCAGAUCCUUCUGUUGCUGGUUCAUCUUCUAGCAAAAAGAGGACACGUGGCCCAACACGUAACUUAGAUUUACUUAGUAUGAAACCCGGGGAAAAAAAAACUACACGAUUCAAUAUGAGAGGGCAAGUUGUUUAUGAUGGAAAAGGGGAAAGAUUAUCAAGCUAUAUGGGAACAUUGGUGCGAUCUCAACACAAUGUACCCAUCCAAGUUCAAGAUUGGAAUCAUGUUAGUGAAGAUGUGAAGGAAAAGAUUUGGGCCUUAGUAUUGGAAAAAUAUGAACUAGAAGAAACAUGCAAGAGCUACAUUCUUCAAUGUUGUGGAAAUUUGUUUAGAAGCUAUAAAAAUAAAAUGAAGGCCAAGUAUUAUAACCCUUAUAAUACAGAUGAGGAGAGAUUGUGCCAUCGACCUCCACACUUAUCGGAUGAUGAUUGGAGGUGGCUCAUCCAUUUUUGAAGUACACCUAAG